AAGAAGGAAGAGGAGGAGAAGGAGGAGAAGAUGAAUGUACACAUUCCACCAGCUGGGUGCUGAGAUCAAAGCAGCAGAAGAGGACCCCUCAACUUAUGCCAGCAGCCAGGUCUUCAUAUAAUAUGAACUUCACAUUGUCGUCAUGAAGGUGCUGGUUCCAGUUAAUGGCAAAGUCAAAAUAGCUUCCCCAAGAAACUGAAAAGACAGGGGGAAAAGCUUCUUAAGGACUUUUAAAUAAUGAAGGUUAAAGUGACAUGCCACCAGGUUCCAGAUGCUACCAU